CAGCAGCCGCGGUAAUACGUAGGUGGCAAGCGUUGUCCGGAAUUAUUGGGCGUAAAGGGCUCGCAGGCGGUUUCUUAAGUCUGAUGUGAAAGCUCCCGGCUCAACCGGGGAGGGUCAUUAGAAACUGGGAAACUUGAGUGCAGAAGAGGAGAGUGGAAUUCCACGUGUAGCGGUGAAAUGCGUAGAGAUGUGGAGGAACACCAGUGGCGAAGGCGACUCUCUGGUCUGUAACUGACGCUGAGGAGCGAAAGCGUGGGGAGCGAACAGGAUUAGAUACCCGGGUAGUCCCUGUCUCUUAUAC
rnacentral:rRNA from 1 species